CUCCCAAGCACCUGUUUGUCUUGAGUCAUGUGGUCCACACCCCAAACUCCCUUCUGAGGGGUGAAGGACUGUCAGAGUUCCUGGAGGGUAUGCACAGAGCGCCUUUGCCUGAGGCUACCACCAGCAUCCCCUAUUUUUCUACCCGCCAUCACGACUUAUCACCAUCUACAUAAACUUCAAUGUACACAUUGUGUAUUUCCAUAAUGUUGUCAGCUGCCCAUAGAGCAUCGAGGAUAUAUUUCCUCGCGUUAGAGUGCUGGUAACUCAAUUUAUAGCAAUUUAUUCCACAAAAGCAGGCAGUAACUCAGAUGGUGAGAGGAGGAGAGAGAGAGAAGGUUCCGAGUACCCACCACUGUUCUUCAGUGCGGGCAAUCAAAAUGGUAAUACAUGGAAUAGAUUUCUCCAAGUAAUAGGCUCAGCUGGCAGAUGUGGGAGUUGAGUUAAAUGCCUUUUAAGUAAAUCUCAGCGUGAGUUAUCUGCUUGCUUGGAUGGGCAGGCAUCAAGACUGCAGAGCUGUGUGGACAGAGGGUGCAUGCUUAUAACGUUCAUUAUCCCUCACCGGGACUCUUUGUUAAGAAGUUAAGGACAACAUGUGUUUGGGGGUCACUAUGAUAGUUAGCUACUGGUAUAGUGUUGAGCCAUUCAUUCUAUCCAUCCAUCUAUCCAUCCAUCUAUCCAUCCAUCCAUCCAUCCAUCCAUCCAUCCAUCCAUCCAUCCAAUUAUUCUUCAAGCCUGUUAAUGUUCAAUUCGUGCCAGACAUUGUAUUAGGCAAAGAAGACACAGAGGUAGAAGUGAGAGGCAGGGAGACAGUUUUGUGCUUGCUAUAUAAGUACGAAGACCUGAGUUCGGAUCCCCAGGUCCUACCUAAAAAGCUUACAAUCCCAGUAGUGGGGAGGCAGAGACAGGCAGCUCCUUAUAGCUCCUUGGUUGGUCCACUUCACGCCAGGAGUCUUCAGUUUCUUAGCAAUUGUUUACUGCGUUUAUAGCUUCAGAGAGGGGCCUUGUGAGUUGAUAAGUUUCCUUAGCUGGAGAAUUGUGUUUCAAAUGAGACCAGCAACACAAUAGUUUCAGGUCUCAAAGAGACCUUGCCUCCUAGCACUUCUUGCUCCGCCCCCUACUCUACACCUCUCCAAUACAAGGGGCUUGCUUUCUCGCUCCGCCCCCUACCCUACACCUCUCCAAUCCAGGGCCUUGCUUUCUCGCUCCGCCCCCUACCCUACACCUCUCCAAUCCAGGGCCUUGCUUUCUCGCUCCGCCCCCUACCCUACACCUCUCCAAUCCAGGGCCUUGCUUUCUCGCUCCGCCCCCUACCCUACACCUCUCCAAUCCAGGGCCUUGCUUUCUUGCUCCACUCCCUACCCUACCCUUCUCCAAACUUGAGGCUGACUUUCAGUUUCUUCCACCCAGCUUCGGUUCUUAUAAACACUUUGGCCACACACUCUCUUGGUUCAUUCUUUCUUUGUUACCUUUCCUUCCUGGCCUCUUGGUGGCUCCUUUCUUGGUCUGCUCAAAGCUUCCCCCUUUCCCUUCAAACCCUGUGCCCACCGCCCCAGCCCCAUCUGCUUCCUUCAAGGCCUGUAGCUGCUCACCGAGUUUUCCUAGAGUCAGUACUGGUGUGAGAGCCUCUUGGAUCUGCUGACUUGGGACCCUGGUACAGUCCUGGACCCGUGAUCAGAGCUGAGCUGAGCUGAGGAGUUGGGGAUAAAAAAGGCACUCAGAAACUGACAGAGGCGGCCAUUAAGGCAGAUGGCUUCUGCUCCCGGUGGAGAGGCUCAGGUAAAGUAGCGUGUCCUCAGGUGAUGAGAAAACACCAUGACCAAGGUAAAUUAUAUAUAUAUAUAUA